rnacentral:rRNA from 1 species
UAAGACCUGCACUUUUGGAGCGGCCGAUGUCUGAUUAGCUAGUUGGUGGGGUAAUGGCCUACCAAAGCUUCGAUCAGUAGCUGGUCUGAGAGGACGGCCAGCCACACUGGGACUGAGACACGGCCCAGACUCCUACGGGAGGCAGCAGUGGGGAAUUUUGGACAAUGGGCGCAAGCCUGAUCCAGCCAUGCCGCGUGAGUGAAGAAGGCCUUCGGGUUGUAAAGCUCUUUCGCAAGGGAAGAAAAGAUAUAGGUUAAUAGCCUGUGUUGUUGACGGUACCUUGAUAAGAAGCACCGGCUAACUACGUGCCAGCAGCCGCGGUAAUACGUAGGGUGCGAGCGUUAAUCGGAAUUACUGGGCGUAAAGCGUGCGCAGGCUGUUUGGCAAGUCAGAUGUGAAAUCCCCGAGCUCAACUUGGGAACU